rnacentral:rRNA from 1 species
AGAGUUUGAUCCUGGCUCAGGAUGAACGCUAGCUACAGGCUUAACACAUGCAAGUCGAGGGGAAACGACAUCGAAAGCUUGCUUUUGAUGGGCGUCGACCGGCGCACGGGUGAGUAACGCGUAUCCAACCUGCCCACCACUUGGGGAUAACCUUGCGAAAGUAAGACUAAUACCCAAUGAUAUCUCUAGAAGACAUCUGAAAGAGAUUAAAGAUUUAUCGGUGAUGGAUGGGGAUGCGUCUGAUUAGCUUGUUGGCGGGGUAACGGCCCACCAAGGCAACGAUCAGUAGGGGUUCUGAGAGGAAGGUCCCCCACAUUGGAACUGAGACACGGUCCAAACUCCUACGGGAGGCAGCAGUGAGGAAUAUUGGUCAAUGGACGAGAGUCUGAACCAGCCAAGUAGCGUGCAGGAUGACGGCCCUAUGGGUUGUAAACUGCUUUUAUAAGGGAAUAAAGUUAGUCUCGUGAGACUUUUUGCAUGUACCUUAUGAAUAAGGACCGGCUAAUUCCGUGCCAGCAGCCGCGGUAAUACGGAAGGUUCGGGCGUUAUCCGGAUUUAUUGGGUUUAAAGGGAGCGUAGGCCGGAGAUUAAGCGUGUUGUGAAAUGUAGACGCUCAACGUCUGCACUGCAGCGCGAACUGGUUUCCUUGAGUACGCACAAAGUGGGCGGAAUUCGUGGUGUAGCGGUGAAAUGCUUAGAUAUCACGAAGAACUCCGAUUGCGAAGGCAGCCUGCUAAGCGCAACUGACGCUGAAGCUCGAAAGUGCGGGUAUCGAACAGGAUUAGAUACCCUGGUAGUCCGCACGGUAAACGAUGGAUGCCCGCUGUUGGUCUGAAUAGGUCAGCGGCCAAGCGAAAGCAUUAAGCAUCCCACCUGGGGAGUACGCCGGCAACGGUGAAACUCAAAGGAAU